rnacentral:misc_RNA from 1 species
UCCUGAAAUGAGCAGAAAUAGACAGCUAAAACCUUUCAUAAGUUGUCGGAAAUGAAAAUUUGAAAAUAGCCCCUUUCUACAGUCUUUAAUCUGUGUUUCGAGCUUCUUAAUUAAAAUAUUUUUAUUAAUUAUUUGUAAAAUGCCUUGUUUAUGUAAUGUUUUCAUUAUUUGAUAAAAGGGAUGAAUUGAGAAUAGAUUUGGAUAUAUCAUUUAGAAAGAAUUGGUGUCAUGAAAUUAAAACUAUUGAUCGCUUAUCUGGGGAAACCUAUGAAUACUUCCUUAGAAAUCAUAUGAUUUCAAACAAACCUUGUAUUUUUACUUCAGAUUUGACUGAUAAUUGGGUCAGCCGGAAUAAAUGGUUAAAAGCUGAUGGAAAACCAGAUUUGGAUUUUCUAAUUCAAGAAUUCGGUUCUUCAGUUGUACCAGUGGUAAUUUGUGAUGAUCGAGAAGACUUCUGUGAAAGAAAAGAGAUGUUGUUUAAAGCAUACAUUAAAGAAUACUUCAAUACUGAAGUAAAAAUGGGUGAUAAGAUGUAUUAUUUGAAAGACUGGCAUUUUAAUAGAGCAUAUCCAAACUACAAAGCCUAUGUGACACCAUUUUACUUUUGUGAUGAUUGGUUAAAUGAAUUCUGUGAAAAUGAAGAUGAUGACUUUAAAUUUGUGUAUAUGGGACCAAAAGGAACAUGGACCCCACUACAUGCUGAUGUUUAUGGGUCUUACAGCUGGUCUGCAAAUAUUUGUGGUAGAAAAAGAUGGCUUUUAUUUCCUCCUGGAGAAGAAAAUUCUUUACAAAAAAAUUCAAAGAUACCCUUUAUGCUGAAGGAAACGGAUAUAAUGAAUUUAAAAAAUGUAUCAUUUUUUGAUGUCAUACAAGAACCGGGUGAAGUUAUUUUUGUUCCUAGUGGCUGGUACCAUCAAGUAUGGAAUUUGGAAGAUACUAUUUCAAUUAAUCACAAUUGGUUUAAUAGUUAUAACAUUCUUUACAUUUGGCAUUGCCUCUAUAAAGCUUCUUUAGAUGUUGAACAAGAACUCUCUGAUCUUAAACAAUUUGAUGAUUGGCAAGAUCAGCAUCAGCCCUGCAAUUGACAAUAGAGCUCCUGAGUUAAGCAAUGAUGCUAAUUCGCCUCCAAUAAAACCUUUUUGAGUGAUACCAGUAUUUGUGUUGUAUGGAGAUGAAACAUUGACUCCACCCCCACAUCUAAAUUGUUGAAUGCAAAGAGACUGUAACCCAUUAUCCAUCAGUCACUGGGGAUAUUUUUUUGUUCGGACAGCGAUUAAUAGGACCCAUGAGCAGUAUAUGAAGCCAUCCCUGAGAUUUGAAGUGGUCUGCCUCAUUGGGACGUGAUCACUUCGUGCCCAGAGCAAUCCCAGCUCUGUAACCGAUGUUUGCAAAUACCUGCCGUUUCAACUGAAUCUAUGUGUUUUUUAAAAAAAACUAUGGUCAUGAGGAUAAAGGAAACUAUGAGUUUUGUCAAUUUUAUUAAAAGCACAUCAUGGAAUGAACUUAUUUAAAUUUUUGGACAUUUUGGAGUCAAGAGUAGCUUUAGCUAAGUGU